rnacentral:rRNA from 1 species
GACGAACGCUGGCGGCGUGCUUAACACAUGCAAGUCGUACGGUAAGGCCCUUUCGGGGGUACACGAGUGGCGAACGGGUGAGUAACACGUGAGUAACCUGCCCACAACUUUGGGAUAACGCUAGGAAACUGGUGCUAAUACUGGAUAUGUGCUCCUGCUGCAUGGUGGGGGUGGGAAAGCUCCGGCGGUUGUGGAUGGACUCGCGGCCUAUCAGCUUGUUGGGGGGGUAGUGGCCUACCAAGGCGGCGACGGGUAGCCGGCCUGAGAGGGUGACCGGCCACAUUGGGACUGAGAUACGGCCCAGACUCCUACGGGAGGCAGCAGUGGGGAAUAUUGCACAAUGGGCGCAAGCCUGAUGCAGCAACGCCGCGUGCGGGAUGACGGCCUUCGGGUUGUAAACCGCUUUCAGCAGGGACGAAGCUUUUUGUGACGGUACCUGCAGAAGAAGCACCGGCUAACUACGUG